rnacentral:rRNA from 1 species
UACGGGGGGGGCAAGCGUUGUUCGGAAUUACUGGGCGUAAAGGGCGCGUAGGCGGCCUACUAAGUCGGACGUGAAAUCCCUCGGCUCAACCGAGGAACUGCGUCCGAUACUGGCAGGCUGGAAUCCGGGAGAGGGAUGUGGAAUUCCAGGUGUAGCGGUGAAAUGCGUAGAUAUCUGGAGGAACACCGGUGGCGAAGGCGGCAUCCUGGACCGGUAUUGACGCUGAGGCACGAAGGCCAGGGGAGCAAACGGG